rfam:Bradyrhizobium manausense strain BR3351 contig2101, whole genome shotgun sequence.
UACCGCUGCCCUCCUUGGGCGUUUCCUCCCUAGACUUGGGCCGCUUGCGUCAUUCGCGAGCGGCCCUUUUUUCUUGUCUGU